rnacentral:snRNA from 1 species
AUCGCUUCUCGGCCUUUUGGCUAAGAUCAAGUGUAAAAGUCAGUAAUUCACAGUACCCCUUCCAGUUAUUAUUUUUAUAUCUGUUUAGUGUGAGUAUAAAUGACUCAAAGCCACUGUGAAUUUGGAAAAGCUUUUAGAUGACUUUGAUGUUA